GAAAAAAGGUGGGUAAGUGAGAGAGGGAAAUGUGUUUUUUAUUUAGAUGAUUGAUCCAGAGUAUUUUUGGUAAUGAACCUUUUUUUUUUUCUUUUUAAGCACAGUUCCUGUACGGAAGUUCCUUUCACAAGACAUGAGCAGUAGUAGCUAGAUGUCAGAAGAAAUUACAGAAGAAAAUAGCAUUUUUUAAAUUGAUGUUAAUUUUACUGAAGUCUUCAAAAAAAAAUUACUUGCUUCAAGAAUCUAGGAAAUACUAAACGUAAAGAAGAAAGUAGCUAAAAUAAGACGCAGUGGUGGUGAACUGGGCUAUCUCUUCUUCAAGCUUUAGAUCUAGUCUCUACACUCGGUUAGCUUUAUUUUAACAGUUUCCCAAAGGCCGAAAGACGGUCAGUGGAGGUGCGUGUUUCCCCGAGCAGGUGCCUCUGCCAGCUCGCCCGCGAGAGAGCAGGCGGCCGUGCCGGGGCUGGCAGGACUGGCCCUUGCCUGCUCCACUCGGCACUCACGGGCCCGGUCACGGGUCUUUAGCGAAGUCGGUAGGUGCUGGCUCGACGCCUGUGCUUCAUCGGCAAUGGUCCUGCUGCUGUCUGAGGAUAUUUUCUGUAUUUAAAGGUGUCAGAUUAGAAAUGUCAAUAUGAAAGAAAUCCAUCAGGUUUGGUUUGCAUUCCAAUAAGUUUGGGGUAAUAUUAGGAUGAAUUUCAAUUUACUGGAACUGCUUGAUCUGAUUAGGUUAGCAUGCGUGCAGAUGGUAGCAAGCAAAGGUAAAGGCAGUUCCUAUUAACUGCAGUGGGAAUGUAUUUGUGUGGUGUUUAGAUAGGACAACAUAUAGUGACUAACUGUCAUUAGUGGUUUUACAGUAUGCAAAACAGGGAGAGAACUGCAGAGGUUGGUUUGUCAACAACAGAAGUGAGCGAAAGGACAGCUCCGUAUUGUGUAAACCUGUCUUGAGAAUAAACAUUUUUCCUUUAUUCCUUAGGGGAUAUUUGUAAAUCUAACCAAGCACCUCUUCCCUGUGCAUCUAACGUUGCUGUUACCUGUGUGUGCCAGGCUGGGGUCACGCGGGCAGCCAGUGGCCAAGCUGCAGGCCUCCCUGGGACUCUGAGCACGUAGGUUUGGACUGAAGACUGAAUCCCAGUCUUAGUCUUUUUUGUAUUUUGCUGAAUUUGCCUGCCUGGUUUUGGGGACCCAUCACACAUGAGGGACUUUUAAUGCAGACUGUCGGUGGUAUUUGUUCAUUGAAUAGCUGGUCUUUUGGAAAUCAGAUUUAGGAACAUUUUAGAACUAGUACUUGCAUUAGUACUUGGUAGUGUCAGUGUUACGGAAAUAAUUAAAUUAUGAUAGAACAUUAGUUCUGUGAGUGAGUAAUACCAGCAAAGCCAACCCAUGUUCACCAUCUCCCUAAAAGCAUAAAAUAGCAGCUAAGCUAAUCGUAGCAGUAAAUGAACAGAAGAAUAAACUGUGUAAUUGCAGCUUGAUUUUUGAAUGUGUGGCACAAAAUAAGGAAAGGUGUUAUUUGCUGAUUUUAAUCUAGAGACAGGAUUGAAAUCUGAUCUUUCCACUGUCUGAAUGUUUGGAUUUAGGAAUUUGGUUUAAAUUCUCUUCUAAUAAACAACAAAUAAUACAGUAAGAACAAGAACGUGUCAUUCUCUAUCAAAGGAAACACUGAUUUCUGGGGCAUAAGUAGCUUCUGUCAAGAAAGACAGAACCAGCAAAUAUUAGGCUUCCUUACACAUUUCUUUUCGAAUAGAGGUUAUUCAGUUUGAAUGCAUAGUUUAGAUAUUCUUGUUUUAGUGCUCUAAUGAAGAGGUUUUAAAAGUCAAAAAGCCAGCUAAGUGCAUAGCUUGAACUCGGCACCGAAACGCUCCAAAGCCACUUCCACAUUUCAGAACAAGCAAGUUGAGAUCCAAAAAUCUUCUACCUUUAAUGUUUUUCAACUCUAGAUUAAAGAGCUUCUCUGAGCUGAUUCACAGGGUCUUCUUAGCUCUAUCUGUUACCUUGGGAUAAGCAGCAUUAUGACGAAAAACUUUGGGUACUGAAGGUAAAAAGCAGUGCUGUAUGUAGGCCACGUAACGUAACAUUGAGAGAGUCAUGACAAUUUCACUUCUACAGGAGUCGGCAAAUCUAUUGCCUCUGCUUUUCAAAAUGGAAGAAAUGCAUGUAUCUUGAUGAUGCAUGUCAUUAUCGAGUUCUGGAUUAUGAAGUAAAGUUUUCACUGUUCAUCCAAAUGCAUUAAUAGGAGCUUAAAUAAAUGCUAUAUCUUAAUAGGUAAGCCAUGCAGAGGGUAAGGGCUGUUGCUACUCAGAUAAACUCUUUGACUCAAAUGAAGGAAGCCAGUGCUGAGAAACUGAAGGUUUAAACUCUGUGUCUGUUAAUGAUGUGUGUUAAGAUCUUUAAGGUGAUACCCAGACUGGGAGCUUGAAUUUUGUAGAUCUCUCAAGUGCUUCAGAUGUGUUUGCUUCUCUGCGCGAUGCGUGACCCCUUGGUGAAAUACAUGCUUAUAAUCUAUAAAAUGCCACACCAGGGGGAUUGUUUCGAUUUUUUUUUUCGUGCUCGUUAAAACUGAGUUAGCUCAAGUUUUUACUUUUACUUUGGAGAUGAAAAGUUCAGAAUCUGUUGAUGAUAAUCUGUUAGUGCAUAACCACCUGUGACUCAAAAGUUAAAAAGAGCUAUACUUUUGCUGGGACAGUCCUCAUUUUAAAGUUAAUGGCACUUCUGCUGUUGACUUUCAUGAGAGCUUGCUCAUAUGAGAUAGCUAUAGAUAAAUAUACUGGAUAAUUGUCUUAUCCGUAUAUUGAGGGAAUGUCUUAAGCAUCAAGCUAUGGAGAGUGAUCAAGUGCAUAUGACUUUCUGGCCUGGUAACAGACAGUCAUUCAUACAGAGUAUAUGAGUUUGGGCUAGAGAAGAUACUGAUCUGGUUUUGGAUAUUCUCUCAACUUGCCAUACCCUGAAGAGGUGGAGAUAAGCAGCAGUAUAAGCAAAGGAGAGGAUGGUCUUUAAAUGAUGACCUUCAUUUGAACUGGAUGGUUGUUGGCCAAAGCAGCUGAGGAGCUUUUAUAGUUGAAUGCUUGGAACAGUGCCUUCCUACAGGAAAAAAAAAAAUGCUCCAAGAUGUUUAUCUUGAAGCUUGAUUAUCAUAAUUGUAAAUAAGGAGUAAAAUGCAUGUAUUGUAAUUCAUUUCUUGUUUGCUCUUUAUAGAGAGCGUGAAAUGAGCUUCCACUUUUAAGUACAGGUUUUUGUGACUGAUGUGAACCUAUUUGCUCUGUAAGCAGAUACUUCUCAGUUACUAGCUCUUUUCAGAGUAUGAAUAAUCAAUUACAAAAACUUGGAAAAAAAAUCAAAUUGCAAAGAGGCUCAUUUCCUAAUGCCCCAGGACAGCAAGAACUUCUGAGUCAGGAAAUUGCAUGCCCUUAACACGACUGUUGACUCUUCCAUUGAAUGAAAGCUGUACAUCAAGAGAGAUCUCUCAUUACAUGAUUACAGCAUGUAUUCUUGGAAGAUACAAGGCAUUUUCUCUGUGGACCCUGCUUAUGAUUUUUUACAGCUUGGAGAACUGCAAAUAUGCUUGAGAGGAAAGUGUAUCUGUGACCAAUGGAAACAUAAAAGGGGAAGAAAAGUUGCAAGACUUCAUGGAAUACCUGCUCACCUCCCGAAACUCCGUGUCUGCAUGCAUCAAAGGCCUUGCACGCUUUCUGAAAGAUACUGCUUUUAUCAUUGCACGUGAUUUUGCAUCCUUUGGGACAAAUUCUGCUUGUUAUUAAUAGAAUUAUUUAUACAUGAAACUUGUCAGGUUAGCAAAGGCACAGACAUUCGGCCAGUCGUUAAAGAUGUAAGCACAUUUUAAUAUAUUGUAUACUAUGGGUUUUCCUUGUCUGCUGCUGUCACCCAGCUGCAUUCUGGAGAGUGCCAAGGCUCCUUCCUUUUGCUGUGGCCUUUGGGUUCAGAGCCCUGGUUUUGAUUCUGAGCAGGUGAGCAUUUCUCUAACUCCACUGAUCUCAGUUACUUCAAACUCUCCUCAAAGGACAGUCUGAGCAGGCUCACCUACCUCUUAUUAGCUUGUUGGGCCAGGGCAGUUAAUAGCUUUCAGCCACUGUGAAGAGGACUUGAGAACAAACAGUAAUUUCGCCAUUUUAGCAUGGUAUUGUAAUACAUAGUGGGAAACUUCUUAAGUCAGGAGCCAUUUCAUUUUUCAUUCAGUUGUUUGAAUUCAUUGCUAGCUUAGGGAGGAUGUCAGGCAUUCCAGUUUGCAUAUCAAAAUGUGUAUUAAUAGCACCAGAAUAGGUAACAGAAUUUCAGAUGAAGGUACAGUUCUAAACUUGUAAUUUGUAAAGCAAAACCAUUUCAAUACAGAAGCACUCUGUAAAAUCUCAUACCCCUAUGAGCUGAAAUUAGGCUUAACCAUGUUCAAAACAACCCUUGUUUUUCUUCAAUCUGAUCUAUUCCCUGUCUAUUUCUGCUAUUGUUGCCAUUGUAUCCAGACAGAUCCUGUCUGUGUAUCAGCAGUUGUAUAUACUUCUUAACAAUUUUUCCUAUACUGCGUGUUGCAUCGAAGGCAUGUAGGGUAUAAAUGAAGAGGAGAAUAGCAGAUUUCCCAUAUGUUCCAAGUGCUAUAUGAAAUUUUAGGAAUGCCAUUUCCCACUUUUAUCCAUUCAUCUCUCUGAAUUUCAGUCUCUAAAUCAUUACCUUUUCUCUCAGGACUGCUGUGAGGCUUAAUUCAUUAAUGUCCGUAGAGUGCUUUGAAAUCCUUAGAUGAAAGGGAUUACAGAAGUGUGAAAUAUUAAUAUUAAAGCAAAAAUGUUAACCCACAACCUUUCUCCUUCUCUCCCUUAGCUCACCUGUUCCACGAAGAUCUUUGUAAUGAUAUAAACUCACCUUAGGAUCGAGAAAAUCAGAGAGUGGGUAAAAACUGUUAAGGACCCUGCUGGAGAUAAGCCAACAACCUUUUUCAAGCCAUUGGAGUAUUGCAUAUGUAAGGACAGAGUUAAAGUUAGGAAAUGAAGGGCUGCUUGUCUUGGGUACUGGAAGUCUCCUCCUCCUGGGCUGCUCAGCAGGCUGGGACACAUCAAAGAAGAACCAACAAGAAGGGAAAUAUCCCGUGGUUAAGAUGCUGAUGUUAGUUUGGAGACCUAUUUUGGCAAAUGCUUUUCAUCAGCUCUGUGCCAUGCCUUCCUGUUCAUAAAAUAGAGAUUAAAAUGCUUUUUCCUCGUCUUUUAUCUCCCUAGAUUGUAAGCUUUGUAAGGGUACAUACAUACAGCACCCGUAUGUUAGUGCUUCUUGGUAUAGCUGUAACAUUUAAUCAAAAAAAUGCCUUAUGCCUCUUUGAUUCAUAAAAUGCUGAAUGUGUCACUUAUCUGAGCUAAAGAGGAACAUAUAUUUGUGGAUGACCUUUAACUGGAAAGAGUAAAAGAUCACCAUAGCAUUCCUUUCAAAUGAGGAGUAUGAAUCCAGUAAUGCAAAUUUUCAGGCUCUUGGCAUGCAAAUUAACAAAAGAGGUGGCAGUACACCUGUCUUUUCAAAGCUCAAAACAUCACACAUCUGCACAGGAAAAUAAAAAGGUUACACUUCUGUAGUUCUCUACAGUCAAGCAUUCUUUCAAAGCGAAAAUCCAUCACUUUGAAGAAUUUACAGAAGAAAACCUCCACAGCAACCAAAGCUCCAGGCAAGCAAGCAAAAGGCAAAAUGCAACUGCUGAGAAAAAUAAAUAAGGGCCUUUAGAACA